rnacentral:rRNA from 1 species
AGUGGCGGAGUGGGUGGAGUAACGACGUGGAGAACCUGCCCUUAUCAGGGGAUAACAACUGGAAACGGUUGACAAUACCGCAUACGCUCUGUUUACCGCAUGGUAUACAGAGGAAAGAUUAUAUCGGAUAAGGAUGGCUCCGCGUCGGAUUAGCCAGUUGGCGGGGUAACGGCCCACCCAAAGCGACGAUCCGUAGCCGGCCUGAGAGGGCGACCGGCCACAUUGGGACUGAGACACGGCCCAGACUCCUACGGGAGGCAGCAGUGGGGGAUAUUGCACAAUGGGGGGAACCCUGAAUGCAGCGACGCCGCGUGGAGGAGGAAGUAUUUCGGUAUGUAAACUCCUAUCAGCAGGGAAGAAAAUGACGGUACCUGACUAAGAAGCCCCGGCUAACUACGUGCCAGCAGCCGC